rnacentral:rRNA from 1 species
UACGAAGGGGGCUAGCGUUGUUCGGAAUUACUGGGCGUAAAGCGAACGUAGGCGGUGUUCCAUGUCAGAGGUGAAAGCCUGGGGCUCAACUCCAGAACUGCCUUUGAUACUGGCGAGCUUGAGUCCGGGAGAGGUGAGUGGAACUGCGAGUGUAGAGGUGAAAUUCGUAGAUAUUCGCAAGAACACCAGUGGCGAAGGCGGCUCACUGGCCCGGUACUGACGCUGAGGUGCGAAAGCGUGGGGAGCAAACAGG